GACGAACGCUGGCGGCGUGCUUAACACAUGCAAGUCGAACGGUAAGGCCCUUCGGGGUACACGAGUGGCGAACGGGUGAGUAACACGUGGGUGAGCUGCCCUGCACUUCGGGAUAAGCCUGGGAAACUGGGUCUAAUACCGGAUAGGACUCCUGGCUUCAUGGUUGGGGGUGGAAAGCUCUGGCGGUGUGGGAUGGGCCCGCGGCCUAUCAGCUUGUUGGUGGGGGAAUGGCCUACCAAGGCGACGACGGGUAGCCGGCCUGAGAGGGUGACCGGGCACACUGGGACUGAGAUACGGACCAGACUCCUACGGGAGGCAGCGGUGGGGAAUAUUGCACAAUGGGCGCAAGCCUGAUGCGUGGACGGCGCGUGAGGGAUGACGGCCUUAGGGUUGUAAACCUCUUUCAGCUAUGACGAAGCGCAAGUGACGGUAGUAGCAGAAGAAGCACCGGCUAACUCCGUGCCAGCCGCCGCCGUAA
rnacentral:rRNA from 1 species